CGGGAAAAGCUCAAAUUUAAAAUCCGGUGGCCCUUCCGCCAUCCGAGUUGUAAUUUAGAGAAGCGUCUUCCGCGCUGGACCGUGCAUAAGUCUCCUGGAACGGAGCGUCAUAGAGGGUGAGAAUCCCGUCUUUGGCACGGACCCCCAGGGCUUCUGUGAUGCGCUCUCGAA
rnacentral:rRNA from 1 species